rnacentral:rRNA from 1 species
UACGUAGGGGGCAAGCGUUGUCCGGAUUUAUUGGGCGUAAAGAGCGUGUAGGCGGCCAGGUAGGUCCGUUGUGAAAACUCGAGGCUCAACCUCGAGACGCCGAUGGAAACCAUCUGGCUAGAGUCCGGAAGAGGAGAGUGGAAUUCCUGGUGUAGCAGUGAAAUGCGUAGAUAUCAGGAGGAAUACCGAUGGCGAAGGCAGGUCUCUGGGCUGACACUGACGCUCAUGCACGAAAGCGUGGGGAGCAAACAGG